CGCGGCCUAUCAGCUUGUUGGUGAGGUAAUGGCUCACCAAGGCUUCGACGGGUAGCCGGCCUGAGAGGGCGACCGGCCACACUGGGACUGAGAUACGGCCCAGACUCCUACGGGAGGCAGCAGUGGGGAAUAUUGCACAAUGGGCGCAAGCCUGAUGCAGCAACGCCGCGUGCGGGAUGACGGCCUUCGGGUUGUAAACCGCUUUCAGUAGGGACGAAGCUAACGUGACGGUACCUACAGAAGAAGGACCGGCUAACUACGUGCCAGCAGCCGCGGUGAUACGUAGGGUCCGAGCGUUGUCCGGAAUUAUUGGGCGUAAAGGGCUUGUAGGCGGUCCGUCGCGUCAGGAGUGAAAACUCGGGGCUUAACCCCGAGCCUGCUUUUGAUACGGGCGGACUAGAGGGAUGCAGGGGAGAACGGAAUUCCUGGUGGAGCGGUGGGAUGCGCAGAUAUCAGGAGGAACACCGGUGGCGAAGGCGGUUCUCUGGGCAUCACCUGACGCUGAGAAGCGAAAGCGUGGGGAGCAAACAGGCUUAGAUACCCUGGUAGUCCACGCCGUAAACGGUGGGCACUAGGUGUGGGGGACAUUCCACGUUCUCCGUGCCGAAGCUAACGCAUUAAGUGCCCCGCCUGGGGAGUACGG
rnacentral:rRNA from 1 species